GUGAAUCAUCAAAUUUUUGAACGCAAAUUGCACUUCUUGGUAUUCCGAGGAGUACACAUGCUUGAGGGUCAGUUAAAAAAAAAUCGUACAUCUUUGAGGUUGCGGAUCUGAGUAUUCGGAUUUUAUUAAUCGGUUACUUAAAAUUAUUUAUAUGUAAUGUGAAGUGUAGUAAUAAUAGUCGUUAAUAAUUAUACUUAUAAAAUUAAAACUAAGAAUU
rnacentral:misc_RNA from 1 species